rnacentral:rRNA from 1 species
GACGAACGCUGGCGGCGUGCUUAACACAUGCAAGUCGAACGGUGAAGGGGUCUGCUUUUGUGGGCCCUGGAUGAGUGGCGAACGGGUGAGUAACACGUGAGUAACCUGCCCCCUUCUUCUGGAUAACCGCAUGAAAGUGUGGCUAAUACGGGAUAUUCUGGGUCUGUCGCAUGAUGGGUCUGGGAAAGAUUGCGCCUUUGGGUGUUUUUGGUGGGGGAUGGGCUCGCGGCCUAUCAGCUUGUUGGUGGGGUGAUGGCCCACCAAGGCGGUGACGGGUAGCCGGCCUGAGAGGGUGGACGGUCACACUGGGACUGAGACACGGCCCAGACUCCUACGGGAGGCAGCAGUGGGGAAUAUUGCACAAUGGGCGCAAGCCUGAUGCAGCGACGCCGCGUGAGGGAUGGAGGCCUUCGGGUUGUAAACCUCUUUCGCCAGUGAAGCAGGCCUGCUCCUUGUGGGCGGGUUGACGGUAGCUGGAUAAGAAGCGCCGGCUAACUACGUG